rfam:Heterocephalus glaber contig122936, whole genome shotgun sequence.
AGGCGGGUGUCCCCUUCCUCCCACACCACUCCAUGUGCAUCCCUCCUGAAGCUGCAUGUUCGAUCAAAGAGGACGACCACCCCCGAUAGAGGAGGACCGUUUCCUUGGUCAAGGGUAUACGAGUAGCUGCGCUCCCCUGCUAGAACCUUCAAACAAGCUCAACAUUACUUUUUUAAGUGCAUCUGACAUUUUCUACCCUUUCCACAAGCAUAAGAUGAUUUUAAAUGUGGAAUAGAUUGAGCAAAAUUCAAACAUUU